rnacentral:rRNA from 1 species
GCCUAACACAUGCAAGUCGAACGGCAGCACGGGAGCUUGCUCCUGGUGGCGAGUGGCGAACGGGUGAGUAAUGUAUCGGAACGUGCCCAGUCGUGGGGGAUAACUAUCCGAAAGGAUAGCUAAUACCGCAUACGUCCUGAGGGAGAAAGCGGGGGACCUAAGGGUAACUGAGGGCCUCGCGCGAUUGGAGCGGCCGAUAUCGGAUUAGCUAGUUGGUGGGGUAAAGGCUCACCAAGGCGACGAUCCGUAGCGGGUCUGAGAGGACGACCCGCCACACUGGAACUGAGACACGGUCCAGACUCCUACGGGAGGCAGCAGUGGGGAAUUUUGGACAAUGGGGGCAACCCUGAUCCAGCCAUUCCGCGUGAGUGAAGAAGGCCUUCGGGUUGUAAAGCUCUUUCAGCAGGAACGAAACGGUUGGCCUUAAUACGGUCGGCUAAUGACGGUACCUGCAGAAGAAGCACCGGCUAACUACGUGCCAGCAGCCGCGGUAAUAC